rnacentral:rRNA from 1 species
UACAGAGGGUGCGAACGUUGCUCGGAAUUACUGAGCGUAAAGCGCGUGUAGGCGGUCUGUUAAGUUGGUAGUGAAAUCCCAUGGCUCAACCAUGGAAGUGCUGCCAAAACUGGCAGGCUGGAGUGCCGGAGAGGGUGGCGGAAUUCCCAGUGUAGAGGUGAAAUUCGUAGAUAUUGGGAGGAACACCGGUGGCGAAGGCGGCCACCUGGACGGUAACUGACGCUAAGACGCGAAAGCGUGGGGAGCAAACAGG